GUGCCAACUACUGGACCAACCUCACGUUGAUACCAGCAGCAAGAUAACUACAGAAUCUCUCUGUACCUUUGGAAUCGCUCCAGAAAAUUUCAGAUGUAUUGAAUGGCUAAAAACUGCCUUCAUUACUAUGUUAUUCCUCCUUAAAUAACAAACCAAUAUUACAAUCUCCAUCCACCAACUAGGAAAGCAAUAAAUCAGUAAGACUAAACUAGGAAAGCAAUAAACUUGGAGAGAAUUAAACACAAUAAAAAGAACAGAAUUGCAACAAUAAGCAAUCUCCUAAAAAUCCUUUGCAUGGUUUACGGAAUUAUGGUUGAUUGCGGAAUUACGGCGCAUCUUUCUCCUGAUUUGCAUCAAUUGCCAGCUCUCCUGAAGAACUUGACUCUGGCAAGUUUUGACUAGUGUAAGCAGUAAAUAGGCGUGGAUGUAAGCGUUUGAUUUCUGAAGCUUGCAGCCAAACAUAAUCUGAAUUUGGCCUAUUUUUCACUGCACUAAGAACUUGUAAUAUCCACCUCGACGAGUUGUAACAAAUUGAUGGUCAAGAAUGGCAGCAAUCUCGUCUCGUGGUACUGCACUUUCUGGAACUCUCAAAACUGGUAAUGCGGAAAUUUCACUGGGAUCACCCUUGAACUCCGUAAGGUCUUCUAUGUUAAAAACAGGGCUAAUACGAAAAUAAGAGGGUAAGUCAAUAACAUAUGCAUUAGUGCCAAACUUCUUGGUUACUCUAAAAGGACCCGUUCGGCGUGCAUGAAGCUUGGUAAAACUCCUCAGAGGGAAACACUCCGGCCUUAAAUGAACAAGAACCAUAUCUCCUUCAUUAAAUUGUCGAUCCUUGUGUUUGGCAUUUGCUGAAGCUGCAUAAGAACUUGUAUGGAAGCUAAGGCGCUGUUUGCAUUCGUCAUGGACAUCUCGCAUAGAGUUAGAAAAUUCCAGCGCAGCCUUACUUGGCCUGGGCGGCAAUGGUAAUGAGUUAACAUCAAGUGGAGUGCUAGGUCGAAACCCAUAGACCACUUCGAAUGGAGUGCAGCCUAUUGACCUGGUAACCGAAUUAUUGAAUGCAAAUUUGGCAUGUGGAAGUACCGCAUCAUCCUGAUGCAUAACUCGAGAGAAUUGUCACAUCGUCAAAACUGGGACAGUCUCCUUUUCUGUUUCAAAUUCCGAAAUCUGUAAAGGAUCCAACACAAAUUUCUUACCUUUGAAAUUAAAAGAGUAAGUAUUAGCAUAACUGUCAUAGAGAACCCUCCGAUCAUAAAGCCACGGACGUCCCAAUAGCAUAUGGCAGAUGGUCAUAAGAAUCACGUCGCACCAGGCUUCGUCCACAUAUUUCUUUCCCAAUGAAAAUUUAACCAAGCAACGCUGCCUCACUAGGACUGAGUUGGCUUCAUUAACCCAGCUAAAUUGAUAAGGGGUGGGAUGCUUCUCGGUUUUCAGCCCCAAACGUUCAAUGGCAGCUUCGGAGAUCACAUUCAUGCUGCUGCCAUUAUCAAUAAUGACAUUCAAAGCCCGACCAUUAUGCUCCAUGCGUGUGCGAAAAAUAUUGGUCCGCAACCACUCGGGAUUAGCCUGGAGUUCUCUCUUAGUUCCAGUCAACACUCGUUGGAUCACACAGCUAGGUAAGUCUGAUGCACCCAAGUGCUCUUCUUCAUCGUGACUGCUCCCAUCGGUCUUCUCCCCAUCCAUGUUUUCAACCGUGUCCACUACUAAUAAUUCCUUUUCACAUAUAAAGGCUAGCUUCUUAUCUCUUGUAGGACACACAACAGGAUAGUGCCUAAAGCCUUUACAUUUAUAACAUUGUGGUCCUUCACUGUUGACUUGCUUUUUCUUUCUGGUCUCCACUCACUGCACCUCUAGGUUGAUCUUUCAACAAUGGAGGCCUUUGGAAUGAGGGUGUGGUGACAUGCUCGGGCCUUAAAUCUGUCGACGUCAUUUUCCUUCCAACCGAAGGCACUAAUUGUUUCUCAAUACGGAGCGCCAAUUGAUAAGCUUCUUCCACAUUGAUUAAACGAGCAGUCCACAUUUCUUUGUGUAUCUCACUGCAUAGUUCGGUGCGGUAUCGGGCUAAAGUCUGCUGCUCAGUCUCCACGAUCUUGCUACGGACAGUCAAUUCAUGGAAGCGAUCCGUAAAUUGAUCAACACUCAAUGACCCCCGCUUGAGUUGCAACGUCUCCUCAAACAUCAUUUGUUCAUAAUCAACGGGCAAAUACUUUUCCUUCAGUCACUCCUUCAUCUCUUCCCAAUUAAAAACUGCUGGUCGUUGUGUACGGUGUAAUUGUUCUUCCACACUUCCCCACCAUGCUCAUGCAUGCCCCUUCAAUUUCGUCCGAACAUAACGAACCUUUCUAUCCUCCAAUACGGCAAACCAAUCGAAAUAAUCUUCGAUAGCCGUUAGCCAGUCCUCAAAGCGUUGGGCUCUAAUUUUCCAAAAAAAAUCUGGCACAUCAACCUUCAUUCUCUUGGUCAGUUCAUCCAAAGUUUGAUAACCUGUACCAUGACCAGCACGCACUGGGGAAAAUUUUGCCUAUGACGUCGGAUAUGAGGCUCAUGGUCUUCAACCUCCCGGCUUUCUUCUUCCCAUUCCUCUUCAUCAGCAUCUCCCUCAAUUUCGUCUAGCUCUCCCCCACGAGCUGCUCUGCGCUCCAUUCAGUUGAAAGGUCCAUGCUCUUUUCGAACAUAAUGUCCCUCCAUGACAUCUAGUCGAUGAGUGAGCUGCUCCAACACUGUGGUGAUCUGAUUGAUUUGGUGCUGCAACUGGGGCUGGUCUAUUUUUUGAGUGAUUGGAUGUUGGUCGUUUUUAUCUUGGUUGUUUGACACACCGAAGUACCACUGCGGGAUAUGGGCAUGGAUCUUGGUUGCUCUGAUACCAAAAAUUGGUGCCAACUACUGGACCAACCUCACGUUAAUACCAGCAGCAAGAUAACUACAGAAUCUCUCUGUACCUUUGGAAUCACUCUAGAAAAUUUCAGAUGUGUUGAAUGGCUAAAAACUGCCUUCAUUAUUAUGUUAUUCCUCCUUAAAUAACAAACCAAUAUUACAAUCUCCAUCCCCCAACUAGGAAAGCAAUAAAUCAGAAAGACUAAACUAUGAAAGCAAUAAACUUGGAGAGAAUUAAACAGAAUAAAAAGAACAGAAUUGCAACAAAUAUGCAAUCUCCUAAAAAUCCUCUGCAUGGUUUACAGAAUUAUGGGUGAUUGCGGAAUUACGGCGCAUCUUUCUCCUGAUUUGCAUCACAAAGGUAAAAGCUCUCUCACCACACCCUUCUCCUAUCACCGAGACAGCACAACCCUCAACUUCAUGAGGAGUAUUGAAAGGCCUUCCUUUUCUAUGAGCUUUACAACAAAAUUAGAAAGUGAUUUAUUGGGUGGGAAACCAGACAUUUAUCUCUUGGAGGGAGACUAACAUUACUUAUUGCAUUUGCUGCUCCACGCCUUUACACUAGCUUCAAAUCAUUAAACCACUAAUUUGUGUGCAAAGCAGAUUAAGACAACUUUUUAAUGGAUUCUUGUCGGGAAAAUUAUGUUAUUGUUUUAUUCUAUGAUGAUUUUCAUUCCUAGAUAAGGAUAUCUACCUACUAUACACAAUCUCUUGUGUUAUAAAAAGGCAUUGUAAGAUGUUCAUUCGAUCAAUGAAAAUUAUACUUCAUUCACAAAAUUAUACUGUCUAAAAUUCUAACAUGGUAUCAGAGCAUCGGGAAUGACCAAUCCGUGACAGCAAGUGCACCGGCUGGAAUUAAAGAAAUUGGGUUGCUGAAUUAAUAAAAUCGGUUGCCAGAAUUGGGGGCCGGAAUUGGAAUACAAAGUGGGCAGCAUUUUGGAUAGAAAAAGGCAGAGGCUGUUGGUUAUAAUUUGAAGUGGAAUAAAAUAAAAAUUGGAGGCCAAAGAAGAGGAAUCUAUACAUACAAAAACGGCUGCCUGGGAAAGAAUUGAGAAUCAUAUAUACAUACCAACAGAAAGGCGGUAGCUUUUGCUGGGGCUGAAUUGAAUAUAUUGGACACACAGAAAAUGAUAGAUUGAGUAGGCUGGAAAUUGAACUGCGUAAUUAACAAAGUCGGUGGCUGCUAGGGAGUGAAUUAGUGGGAUGCAAAGUUGACUUGUAUACAUAUAUAAUUCCCACAGAAAAUCGAAGCAAGGAAGGAAUUGGAACUAAACAGGUGGCGGCUGCAAGAUAUGGGCUGUGUCAUCGUCGAUCAAAGUUCCUCCACCGUGAGUGUCGCCCCGGGUCUCUCUACCAAGCAAUACAACCAAUUAUUGGAGCCAUUAAAACCCACUUCCAUGGCAUUUGCAGGUGAGUCCCGCCCUCCAUCCAAAUUUUCCCCCAAUUCUCCUUCCAAUUUUUCCUAAAUGCCGUCCCCCUGGGUAAUAGAUAGUGGUGCCACGCAUCAUAUUGCAUCUUCACCCCUCACCAAUUUAAAAUCAUCUACUUGCCCACCUUUUGUUUCUUUACCUAUAGGCUACAUGUGCACAUGCCCCCAUUUCUUCUAUAGGUGAUUUCCCUUAAUCCCUUUAACUCUCCCUAAUGUUUUGUCGGUUCAUGAUUUUAAAUUUAAUAUAUUAUCUGUCAGUCAACUAAUGAAAUCUCUUAAUUUUGCAGUGACCUUUUUCCCCACUUUCUGUGUCUCUCACAACCUAACCACGAAGAUGCUAAUUGGCG
rnacentral:lncRNA from 1 species